rnacentral:rRNA from 1 species
AUACGAAGGGGGCGAGCGUUGUUCGGAAUCACUGGGCUUAAAGCGUACGUAGGCGGUUAUGAAAGUCAGAAGUGAAAGCCCAGGGCUCAACCUUGGAACUGCUUUUGAAACUCCAUAACUAGAGUCCCGGAGAGGUUGGCGGAAUUCCGAGUGUAGAGGUGAAAUUCGCAGAUAUUCGGAGGAACACCAGUGGCGUAGGCGGCCAACUGGACGGGAACUGACGCUGAGGUACGAAAGCGUGGGGAGCAAACAGGAUUAGAAACCCCAGUAGUCC